GGCACAGUGCCAGCAUCUGCGGUUAAUCUGUUUUCUUUGCUUUCUACUAGAAAUAAGUAAAUUAUUAAUAGGUAAAAUUAGGUUAAAUUUGUUUAUUAUGAUAUUAUGUGAUUUAUUUUUGGAGAAGUAGAUACAAUGACAGGGAUUAGAUACCCCAUUAAUACUAUUAGUAAUAUAUCUUAGUUUUAUAACUAAAAUAAUUUGGCAGUGAGUGAUUCUUAUUAGGGGAAGGUGUGGUGUAAAGGACGAUCCGCCUAAUAAUUUACUUUUAUUAUAUUGGUGUAUAUCUGGUUUAAUAUUAUUGUUGAGUGACAGAAGUUGUGUAGUAUAAUUUAAGCCAAGUCUAUGUGCUGUUUAUAAAAGUAUUCAUGCGUUACAUUUAUAAAUAUUUAAUUGUAAUAUUAAAAAAUUUAGGACUUAAAAGUAAUAUUUAAUAAAUUAGUGAAUGUGAAAUAAGUUUAGCUCAUG
rnacentral:rRNA from 1 species